GUAGGGCGCGAGCGUUGUCCGGAUUUAUUGGGCGUAAAGAGCUCGUAGGCGGCUUGUCGCGUCGACUGUGAAAACCCGCGGCUCAACUGCGGGCCUGCAGCCGAUACGGGCAGGCUAGAGUUCGGUAGGGGAGACUGGAAUUCCUGGUGUAGCGGUGAAAUGCGCAGACAUCAGGAGGAACACCGGUGGCGAAGGCGGGUCUCUGGGCCGAUACUGACGCUGAGGAGCGAAAGCGUGGGGAGCGAACAGGAUUAGAUACCCUGGUAGUCCACGCUGUAAACGUUGGGCGCUAGGUGUGGGGGACCUCUCCGGUUCUCUGUGCCGCAGCUAACGCAUUAAGCGCCCCGCCUGGGGAGUACGGCCGCAAGGCUA
rnacentral:rRNA from 1 species